AUGGUCCAAGAAGGCUAUUCAUGUCAGUGCCAUAAAACAGACUAAAUGAGAAACAAAGGAGGCACAUGGCAGAUGCUCCGAUCCUCAUCUUCCUCCGUGUGCUGCUUUCAUUGAGAUGGCACCUG